rnacentral:rRNA from 1 species
GACGAACGCUGGCGGCGUGCUUAACACAUGCAAGUCGAGCGGGAUCCAACCGGUGGCAACACCGGGGAAGAUCUAGCGGCGAACGGGUGAGUAACACGUGAGCAACCUGCCCCGAAGACUGGGAUAACACCGGGAAACCGGUGCUAAUACCGGAUGUCGUCAUUAGGCCGCAUGACCUGAUGAUGAAAGGAUUCAUCGCUUCGGGAGGGGCUCGCGGGCUAUCAGCUUGNGGUGGGGUAACGGCCUACCAAGGCGACGACGGCUAGCUGGUCUGAGAGGACGACCAGCCACACUGGGACUGAGACACGGCCCAGACUCCUACGGGAGGCAGCAGUGGGGAAUCUUGCGCAAUGGGCGAAAGCCUGACGCAGCAACGCCGCGUGGGGGAUGAAUGCCUUCGGGUU